rnacentral:rRNA from 1 species
CCUACGGGAGGCAGCAGUGGGGGAUAUUGCACAAUGGGGGCAACCCUGAUGCAGCGACGCCGCGUGUGCGAAGAAGUCUUUCGGUAUGUAAAGCCCUAUCAGCGGGGAAGAAGGAAUUACGGUACCUGAGUAAGAAGCACCGGCUAAAUCCGUGCCAGCAGCCGCGGUAAUACGUAGGGUGCAAGCGUGAUCCGGAUUUACUGGGUGUAAAGGGAGCGCAGGCGGCACGGCAAGCCUGAUGUGAAAGCCCGGGGCCCAACCGCGGGACUGCAUUGGGAACUACCGGGCUGGAGUGCCGGAGAGGUAGGCGGAAUUCCUAGUGUAGCGGUGAAAUGCGUAGAGAUUAGGAGGAACACCAGUGGCGAAGGCGGCCUCCUGGACGGUGACUGACGCUGAGGCUCGAAAGCGUGGGGAGCAAACAGGAUUAGAUACCCCGGUAGUC